UCCCCGUUGCCGGGGCAGUCUGAAUAGAAAAAUACAACUAUUCACAAGGGUUGCGCUCGUUAAUGGACUUAACCAAACAUCUCACGACACGAGCUGACGACGGCCAUGCAUCAUCUGUCACCGAGCUCAAUAAAGCACUCUCGCCUUUCGGCAAAAUUCUCGGGAUGUCAAACCCUGGUAAGGUUCUUCGUUUAUCAUCGAAUUAAAGAACACGAUCCACCGCUUGUGCGGGUCCCCGUCAAUUCCUUUAUGUUUUAGUCUUGCGACCGUACUCCACAGGCGGGAUACUUAACGCGUUAGCUUCGCUACUGAAGGGGUCGAUACCUCCAACAGCUAGUAUCCAUCGUUUACGGCGUGGACUAC
rnacentral:misc_RNA from 1 species